UAAAAUAUAUGUCACAAGGACAUGAAUGUAUGACCUUGUAAGUUAUCUUUUCAUUUAUAUAUAUUUUUUUAUUUUUCUCAGAGCGAGGCUGCGUCAGGAAGCGUGAGAGACGUGCAGCGGGAUCACAGGAGGGUGAACACAGCCUUCCUGGACACACUCGAGGGUCGAGGCAAGGAGACAAAGGAGGAAACAAAGAGUCUCUUCUCAGCUUCUGAAGACUUUAAUUACCCGUCUCACCUGAACCCAGAGUCAGAGCACAGCUACUUGGAGUGGAGCGAGGAAGCUGAGCCUGAUUUGAAGAGACUGAUGGAGAGCUUUCCAGGAUACAGCUCUGACUUCCUGGAGGAAAUCCUGGUUCAGUGCAACAGGGACUGUGAGCAGGCCUACGCUCUACUACUCAACUGUGCAAUGGAUUAACUUGAACACAUUAGUAUUGUGUUUGAAUCCCUCGAUUAUAAAGAAAAAAGCUAAACCUAAGUGUGUGACUUUGGUGGUGGAUGAUUGUAAAUGCGGACUACACAUUGUGGAGGAAAUUCUAAUGCCCUUGAGAGAAACUGAUAAGUGACUCUUUGACAAAGUUUGUCUUUUGUUAUAUUGUAUAAAGUAAUAAAGAAAGUAAAAACACAA